GCACGUUGAGAAGAUGAAGACAUGUGCGACACUGAAUUCACACAUUUGUCAACAAGUAUCACCGCCAGUGUUCGUGCAAGCCAGUUUCCAGAAAUGUUACAUGGAAGACAAUAUUGUGGUGGAACACAAAUGACGGUCAUCACUGGACAGACACUUCUCAACCGAAAAAUAAGCAGGGAGAACAGCUGAAACUCAAAGAGGACAUCCAGGGGCUGUUACAGGAGCUGAAAGGCUCAAGGUAAGCGCGGAUAUACUCUUUAAGGCAGUGUAAGUGAAGAAUAAAUAACUUGUGGAGGCAUGCUUUCGUUUGUGUAUCAUCUAUUGCGCGCUCGUGCGUGUGUGAGGGAGCGCGGGUGUGUGUGAAAGAGUUGAAGCUCACAAAAACAAAUAGUAAUUCAACUUGGUGCUUAUGUUAAUUUCUAAUCUAGAUUGUAAGAUAAAAUGCAACCCAAGUUUGGCUGCCCUGUGUAGCUGUGAGUCUCUGUUCGUGCCUGUCUGUCUCUUUGUGUGGCUGUCUGUGUUUCAGAUAUCACUCAGAAAUGCAGAGCACACUGUGUGGGAAAUAUCACGCAUUAAUCUUAUGGUUUAAGGCUAAAAACUCACGAAAGACUUGUAGCAUAUUUGCAAUUGCGUAUGUUCCUGUAGUUUUCAUAAAAGAAGCCUAAAAUCAUUGCAACUUUCACUACAAUUUUUUAGAAAAUUAGAAAACUUGGCGGCUAACAUUAGCAUUGUUCAUAGAUGUCUCAAGUCCUCCACAAACUAAAAGGUUUUAGGUUAAUCUCUUACUUUUCUCCAAACUUUGUUCCAUCUAUUCCUUUGUCAGUGCUCAGCUAAUGGUGCAGGAAGCUGUGCGCUGCUUUUUACGACUCAUGCCAUAGGCGCUGAUCACUAUGGUUCUCUCUGGUCUGUGAUUGUUUGUAGCUGAAUCCAUGACUUUACUCUUCUUAACUUUGUUUCUUUGGUUUCCUUUGACUCCAUAAGUAUAACUGCAGACCAGAGAGCCCUCCAUUAUGCUGGCUUUGCUUUUCUUAGCCAGACAAUGCUGAUUUGAAAUGGAGCGGUGCAUAACAACCGUUAAGGCAGCGGCAACGCUUUCAGAACAAUAAUAAAGACUAUUAUAGUCUUAAAUUGUCCCUGUUACAUGUUUGGGGAUCUUAAUUCCUGCUCAGAGAAAAAAAAGAAGUAGUUGGACAUUUCCAAUCGCUGUUGAUUAAAGACUUUGUUCUCCUCAGUAUGAAAUAUGAGUUAUUUCCUGCUCAUAUAACAUACCCGGUUCCCCCACUGAUACUGUUUUCAACCUAGCUCUGUAACUCCCUCUGUGUCAUGCAAAAACAAACAGAAAAAUCACUCCUCUGCAAACUCCAUCUUUGAAUUUAUUUAUUUAUUAGAAAGACAUGAUGCAAUUUAACACAGCUGCAAAACAAAACAUGAAACGGAUGUACUGCACUGCAAGAGUUUUUAAACGUCUACUAAUUUUCAACAGACUUUCACAUACACCAUGAAACCAGAAUAUACAGCAUCAGAUAAUAUCAGGGACACUUACUAAUCAAAUCACAAUCCCCCUGAUCCAAAGAUUGAUAUAACAUCAGCUUUUUUUCAGAUAUUUGGGAGUUCAUUGGACUUUGUUAAUGAACAAAGAAGUGGGUCACAGGUCUUAUCAAUGAAGAAGUGCUCCUUCAUCAAUCAUGCAUCCAGUUUUUAAAUGUUUUGCCUCACAGACAUAAACGGUCUUAAUUACUUUUGUAAUAUUUGCUGUUUUAACACAAAAGGAAUGGGCUGCUUUUACUCUAAUAUUCGUGUUAUUUGUCAGUCAUUUGUGCUCUUCUGUGGCCUGGCUUAUCUCCUGAUAUAUUAAAACAUAUAAUUAAUUUGUGAGCCAUUUCAUCCUUUCCAGUGAUGGUUGUUCCAUUCAUUUUCAUUUGUUUGAUUUCUUUUUGGCUUUUUGAUCUCUUGGCUCAGCUGUUUGAGUGUUUUCAAGAGGAUUCAUUAUUUUUUACCCUUUGCUGGGCAUAAUACAAGAAUUUUGUUUGGCAAAGCUUCAGGGCUUCCUUAUUUCUUAGUCUCUUGUGAAUGGUCAGCAAUAGGCUUGAAUGAUGAGGUUGUUUUUAAAGAUAGAUCCAGUUUUUAUGGUAUUUAGCCACAGUGAAGUUGCCCAAUUUUGUUCGCACUUAUUUUAUUGCUGAGUCAGGAGAGCCGCGCUCCUCAACAUGAAGUAGAACAGUCCACUUUGUUUUUUUAAUAUGUGUUGAUUAGCUGUCUUUAACAGGUCAGUAUAGACAGACAUCACUUUUCUGUAGCUACCAUUGGUCAAGGGGCAGGACAAGAUAUACGAGCAAGAGAGCUGCAAGGUGAGCCAGGCGUGUUUGCUCUCCCAUCACCUCAGCAAAAUGGGAGAAGCCAUUAUCUAACAAAUUAAUAUAAGACCGAGUUAAGCUUGCUAAUAUUGGAUGCAGACUUUCUGUCCAUAUCAUCAGAGGUUUAAGGCUUUUUCUCAUUGGCUGAGUGAGUGUGGUGUUAUCCCGAGCAUUUCUUUUGACUUAGGGAUUUGAAUUGAGGGGUUUAUCAUAAAUGAAAAAGUCCAGUUCUGUUUCUCUGUAUUUUUUUUUUUUUUUAUCUGUUUAACCAAAGCAGAGAAAAUAUUAAAGGAAGAAAUGAGCCCUUGGACUGGUGUGACUGUUUCCAUCAGAGGAUAAGGCUGGUGAGAUAUCUUUAAGCGCUUAAAAAAGAAAAUUUAGAGAGUCAGAUGUGAUGAUGUGAUGAUGUGAACCACCUAAUUAUAGCAGAGGUGUCUACAGGUAGUACAGACUGUUAAUAACUAGACAGUCUGUUUUUGGUCCUUACAAUAACUGUGAAUGUUAACCUCAAACUUCAAAUUUUAUUUCACUUUGUAUAAACUCUUUCUCUCUCUCUCCUUCAAACACACACACACACACACACACACACACACACACACACACACACACACACACACAGGCCAUCAUGCACACAAACAUAUAAACCUAGCAUCGUGCGUGCUGACAGCCUGCCUGGCUUUUUCCAUCAGCUGGACCUAUCACAGCUUAUUAUCAGCUCCUUUGAACCGUGGGCUCAGAGCAUGAUUACAUUCUCAAUUAAUGUCUGUAUGAUCUACUUUGACGAGGCAAAUAAUGACAGGGGCCCAGGCUGUGUGUGUGUGUUAGUGUGUGUGUGUGUGUGUGUGUGUGUGUGUGUGUGUGUGUGUGUGUGCGUUUUGUGUGCAGGCCUGUGCUUUUUUUUCACAUAUUUAAAUUUAAACGUCACGUUUAAAUGUUUUGAUGUGGGUCAGGAUGACACAAUGCCCUCAUGUGUCUUUGCUACAGGAGAAGCAUGCAUGCUGGCAAUAUGUAUGUGUGCAGGACUUUGUCAGGGGUUAGAGAGCGGGUUCGGGAUAAAUUGAGAAAGACAUACUUGGCUCUGCAUUGAAUAAAAUUUCAAAGGCAGUCUUUUAUCUUUGGACCCUUUCGUAACCGAUGGAAUCUGCCUGCUGAGCGGCAGUAGAAAUCUGAUUAUUUUACCAAACUGUCAUCUACGAUGAACCUAAAGUUUAAACCCAGCACCUCAAGUUGCUUUGUACUCGUCGCAGGAAGAUAGCAGUCUGAAAGUUUGUGGGUUUGAAUAUUCGGUUAGCUGUACAGGCAUAAAAGCCUGUCUUGUGUUAGGUUUGUGUAUAUGCAUGUCCACAAAAAAAAAAGAUGAAAACAUAGGCCAAAGUUGAUUGACACAUAGAAAGAUGAAAGCAGCACAGUGCAUGGAGAAAGCCGACAGCUCGUCACUCUGUGUGGCUGUGUUUGUGAGUGCAUGUUUCUCUACAAACAAAAAUACAGAUGAAAGGGGGUGCGCAAUGUUAGGCUGCACACCCUGAUGUAGUGGAGGACACAUAGAAAGUAAAUGGACCUGGAAUAUUAACACUGAGCCUGAUAGAUGAGAGUGUAUCCAUUCUGUGAAGACGACCCUUGUUUGAGUAGAAAUGAUAAAGGAUAACCUGAUUUUUUACAACUGAUUGUAAUUUGAAGGGAUCAUUUUAUAUGACGGCACAGGCAGAAUCAAACCAGCAAACUUCCACAGCACAACCAAACCACUGAUGCCUUUAAUCUUUGGGUCAAGGCUGCAGUGUUUACUGUACUUAAGAGACAGAGCAUGAAAAUAUUGACCGUAUUAUCUUUGAAAUAAUCAGUGCCCUUCUGGAUGACCUUGAUCCCGGGGCCAUAUAACAACACCACUGCAGGUCACUUGAGAGUUAAAAUGGAAUAAAAAAAAGAGAGAAAGCUGAAUCAUUGUGUAAUGUGUCCAGGGGUAAUAACAAGCUGUCUGCCUCCCAGUGGUUACCCUUGGCACUACAGUGCAAUAUAAUCCACACGGGAUUAGCAGCGGGUAAUGCUCUCACGAUUAAAAAGGAUUUUCUCUCUGGGGUUUUAAUGAGAAUCUCAACAGUGUUUUUAGUGUUGACUGUCCACUGGACCAUGGUGCUUUUGCGUCAUGCGUAUCCAACCAGCCUACCAUGACUGUGUGUGUGUGUGUGUGUGUGUGUGUGUGUGUGUGUGUGUUGGGCAGUUUAUACACUUCCAUAACAAGCUGACCUUAAACCUUUUCUGUUUAUUCGUUUCUGAAGCACUGAAAUAUUUAACGACUUUCAUAUAAAAAUUGAUAUUGAACAUUAAGCAUUGUUUAUACUGUUGGACUCUGUUUCAAUCCAAAGCAGUGUGCCAAUUUACAUGAAUGUUGUUGCUGUGUGUGUUUAUUUACCUGCGAGCAAUAGAUCAUUUAUUCAGAUGAAAAUGAUGAGUGGAAAAACAGUCAAACACACUGUGGGUUUGAGUUUAAAAGGUGCUGUCCAACAUCCACAAGCUCUUGGAGGGUUUUUAAUUGAGCUAGUCUUGGCCAAAUUAGCCCAGAGUUGAACUGUAUUGCUCCUGAUUUAGUGACUCAAGAUAUAAAAGUACCUCUUACUUAUUCCUACUGUAUGUGUAUAUAUAUAUAUAUAUAUAUAUAUAUAUAUAUAUAUAUAUAUAUAUAUAUAUAGAGAGAGAGAGAGAUAGAGUACAGUGAUGUCAAAAGUACCGCUUACUUUAUUCCUACUGUAGAUAUAUAUAUAUAUAUAUAUAUAGAUAUAGAUAGAUAGAUAUAGAUAGAUAGAGAGAGAGAGAGUACAGUAAUGUUAACUGAGCUGAAAUAUUGUGUUACAGCAUUACUAUCUCCCUCUGCUAACAUACAGUGGGUAAUUAUAGUAUAUGAGCUCUGCUGCUGUUUUCUUUAUUAGGUUAGUUUGUUGAUGCUGUGAUGUUGGAUUAAUCCCUCUGUUGGUUAAAAUACACAAAACUCUGCGGAAAUAAAUCAGGGCUAGAGAUUUUCUCCAAACUAGCCCAUCACUCAAACAUUUUCAGAUACACAAAUCAGGUGAGGCCAUCCUCCUUAAAGUAAUUAUCCCUGAUCAAAUCCCAACAGUUGAUGAAUUUACUACAAGUUUCCUCUCAGUAAGUUUGCAUGCAUAGUUAUAGUGAGCCAUGUUCAUACAGUAGCUUGAUUACGCCAUAUAAAAUCCGACUUCUACCCUCGUCCCAGUGAUGAUAUUGGAUUGAUUGACUAAAGGAAGUACACUUAUGCCAUGGUAACUUGUGAUUUGCCCCCUAUCUGCUAACUCCUAAGAAGUGAAAUGACCAGAAAUAGAAUGAUCAACCUAAUCAGGUGAACUGUAAAUGUAUCAUUGUGCAACUAGAGCAUGAGCGUAUAAUUUAGCAGCCAGGGAUGAUUGUAAAUUGCAUACAUUUACUGUUCUCCGUCCACUUUCCCGUUCCUCACUCUGUGAGUGACUGUCAGAGCUGGUUUCCUGCCUGCCUUUCCUGUGGCUUUAGCUUUUGUGGUUUUCAAACUUUCACAUUGUUCUGUCCUUGACACUUUCUCUCUCUGCAUGUCAGAGUGAGGAGACAGGCCGGAGGACCGCAGCUCUGCCCUUUUUUAUGUGAGCGGGCAUUUCUGAGUGUUGUGAAUGCAUGGUUUCAUGGUGAGCACGGGGGUAGGCUUGCAUAUGUGUGAGUGCGUGUGUGUGUUUGCGCAUGUGUGUUUGCAUGCGUGUGGAUGCCAGACUGGCCCCAGGGUCCAGAGCCAUCACACUUUAUGAGGUAUGGCAAGGUGAGAGCAAAACAUCUGCUAGUCCAAAGAAAAGCCCUGGUCUGGGACUCAUGCUGGGCUUAGCCAGUGAACACACAUACUGUACAUUAACUAAGCCCAGAAAAACUCAACACAGCUAAACUAACACACACUGGAGGACAUGAAAGACACACAAGCCCUGAUCUAGAUUUUCCAACACAGAAACACAAUGCAUAAACAAAGCUGCACGAAAAGACACAUACUUUUUAUCCAAACAGACAUCACAAACCACACAUACCACUGACUAAAGACACAAACAAAUGCUCUUUCAUGUAAAGGCACAGACAGCCUCCUCCUUAGGCUUUCUUUCCUCUGAUCCCCUGUAUAGGCUGGCUCUUGUUCUCUCUUAUUCAGGCGUUUCCCUUGUGUCAAGGGCAUUGGAACAAUUCCCUAGUACCUGCCAUCACCCCCCUCCUCUUCAUCCCUCCACAUCGCUUCUCGGCGCCCCUCCUGUCUUCUCAGAACACCCCGGAGAGGAGAACUGCCAUGUAAGGUCUAGUGGAGAGAGGAUAGACACGGAGAGCGUUCUGACCGCCUCUGACAUCGGAAUCACUGAACCUGCCCACAUCUAUUCUCUCCAACCUUGUCUGUCAGAUUGCCUGUCUGUAUGUUGUGUGUGCGUGUGUGUGUGUGUGUGUGUGUGUGGAGUGGCUCUGCCUUUUUUUAACCCCUUUUCUAUGUGGGCCGAGUUGGCUGACAAAGUUACUUUACUUUUCUGUCUCAGGGAAACUGUGGGGGAAGAUAGGUGCUUUCUUUCUAGUUAAGCAAUUUUGGCCCCUGAGUAAAUUUGCCUGAGCAGGUUGAGGGUAUCUGGUUCAAGGCACAUCAAUGAUGCUUAUAGGCUGAAAGAGCUGCAAGUAACAGAAACCCCAGCUGCAGGGAGAGCUUUUUAUUUCAUUUUUUCAUUCUGGUUAUCGAUUCUGAGAUCUGGCCUCCUCUGAUCUCAGAGACUCAUGCUUGUUGUCUCUCUUACAUGAGCCGUAAGAACAAAUUCAAGAUGAAAACCAAAAUUGCAAGAUUAAUGACUGUAUUUGUGUCCUGCCUGAGAUGAAGCUGCACCAUAAGGAUGUUGUCAUUGUUUUUCUUUCCAAAAGCUGAGGCUCUGUUUAAUAUGCUUUGUCAAGUACCUUUGAAGGGGUUCAGUUAAAUUACAGUCAUCGGUUGAAUACUGCUUGAUAUUUUCCAUCUUAGCUGCAGAGAGUACAAUUUCUUUCUGUCUUCCACUUGGCCUGACUCCCCGUCAACAUCAUUUGUCUGCUCUGCCUGGUCUGUAAUUGUGAAACACUUCAAACAGUCUGAAAGGGUAUAAACAAAUGGAAAUAAUGCCUUUUCCCCCAGACGUAAAUAAAUAAAUAACAAAUGUAAUUCCAAUCCUGACACGCAGAAUUUAAUUCAAGCAAAAAAACAUGAAAGACAACGGGUCUUACUUAUAUCCAGCCCGAAGGUUUAAUCAAAGUUUCCUUUGAAGCCUAUAGGGAAAAUGACAGAACACAGUUAUGGAUUAUAGAUGGUUAUAGUUUUAUAAAUGUAUCUUGAAAGAAUCACUGGUGGAAUCAUUAGUUCUAGUCAUUAUCUGUUAAAGUCAUAAGGCCUCUUUGAUUGCUGAAAUCACAGCUUUUAUCUAAUAUCUAUCAUUACAUACACAAGUUUAAAUUGGAAGCUGUAAACAGUACUCUAAUUAUCGACUAAUCUUUGUCCAGAUAUUUGAUGACAAAUUGAUUUUGAUUGACAUUUAAAGGUCAUGUGAGAAAGUUUUGGUUUGUGUUGACUUUGGCGCCUCCUGUGGACAAAGUAGUCAUUGCUUCAGGCUCAAGUAAGAUCUGACAAAACAUUCUCACCCUGCUGAGCCAAAGUAUUAUUUUGAAUAUUUAUUUAAAAAAACAGGGCUGUUUUAUAGCUUUAAACGUCUUUCAUUAUUUUUAGUUUAUCAUUAGUCUAAUGACUGAUACUCUCCCUUUUGAAGCGCUUUAUUAGAGGGGUGAAAUUUCAGUGUAAGCAGAGUAAGUAGAUAUCUUUUUUGAACAUCUGAAUAGCUCAGUAUUAUGUAAGCAAAUUGCUAUUCCUCUGAAGAGAGUGAAGUGGAAUCGACUUUUCCCUCAGCUCAAAUGUGUGGGCAUGGUAUGUGAAAACACUGUAUCAUCUUCAAAUGGCUUUGAAGACCUACAGUACGCACACAGUCGGUGUUUGAAUAGUGCUGCAGAGUUGUUUGGUUUCUGUCAAAACAUUUUCUAUUUAUCUUGUCUUGAAAAAGGUCAGUUUAAAGCUGAGGAUGGGUAAAGCAUACGGCAAAAAAAGGAAUACUCGGUUAAAGAUACGAUGUGAAGUAUCUCAGAGUGCGAACUAUAAUGUAUAUAUUCUGAAAGGAACCUUUGCCCCUACAGUCUCAAAUUUUGAGGGGGCAUUUUUUAAAAACUAUGUGCAUAAUAUUGCACAUGGAAAAAAAAAAAAAUGUUUUAAAUGUGAAGUGAGCCUGGAUAAAAAUGCUUGUCAGCCUGAUGUCGGACAGAAUUGUUCACUUGUUCAAAUUCAGUGUCAGCUUUUUCGCUGCUCUCAGUUAACAGUUGGAAACUGCUUUCACCCAGUGAUUUCUGCAGUUUUUUCAGAUUUAGUCCAAUUCUCUGGACAAAAAAUGAAUUUUAGGUUUUUUUUUUAAAUUGUCAUCGCUUUUUAUCGUUUCGGUCCAGUUUCUGUCAACCAAAAGUCAGGACAAUUUUGUCAAGGUUGAAUCAAUAAAAAAAAUAUCACUCAUCGCUUUGGUGAAAAUCACAGGUCUACUGAUAUCAGUUUUUCAAGAGGCCAAUACAAAGAUAGCAGGUCAGUCAAGUGCAGAUGUAUAAGGUUUUUAUCAGAUUGUGUUUUUUUUUUUUUUUUUUUUGCAGUGCAAUAAUACUAACAAAUAAGAAAUACAUUGCUGAACUCCAGUGAAUGUUUGAUUAAAUCAAUGUAGACAGAGUUUUCACGUGUUCCCAGCUAACUAAAAUUAGAGACGAACAAAAAAAUUACACAGUGAAUAAUAACAUUAUUAAAACAAUGCAUUAAUUCUGUACCUAAUGAUUUUAUAUAAAGACUGGAUGGGACUGUUUUAGAUUGGAUAUGCUGUCAGCUGCAUAUUACACUUGAAUAGAUAACGGUGAUAUCAGCCUUGUGAUACUGGUAUGAACCUGACAGUGUCAAAAUUGCCAAAAAUCAGCCCAAUUAGCGGACUGAUUAAUCAGUUUAUCUCUAAGCUAGAUGUCCCAAUUUAUUCCCAUUUCUACAAACUGUACCUUUAGCACAUGAUUUGCCUUUAUGCUGUUCUCGAUUCAUUUUGUUCUAGCUAAAGAGUUGUUUACAGUUCUUGAAAUCUCUUUGGUUUUAAAACUUGAAGAAGUUGAAAUAAAAGAGCCAACAUCGGACCCAUCUGUCUGUCUUUUUAAUUAAUUUAUUUAUUUAUUUUUCAAAUUAAUAUUCAACACUAGGAAACUCAUUUAUUGAUAAACUGUAAAUAAACUUAAGUGUUAACAACUCAUGGACUCACUUGUCCAUUUUAGGCUGCUUAUUGUUCAGUGGGAACAAACAUGAUUGUAUGAGGGAAACAGGCAGAUUAAAGAGUUAUUUCUCAGACAACUAAGAGUGUUUCACACCUCACUGCUGUUAGCUAACUGGUUCAAACACACAAUAUAGCUGAGUCAAAGGGGAAGUCUGUCUUCCAGGGUUUCAGCUGUCAUAAGCUCAUAGUCACAGUUAUAACAAAGAAGAAACAUGUACAAAGCAGUCAUACAAGAACGAGAAGAAAUACGAAGGCUGAAAAAGUAAUAAAUACAAUAUUCACCAUGACUGAGCCACAAGAAUGAGCAGUUAGAGGAAAAUAACGUUUUUCUUGAGUGUGGCCCAUUGUGUAAGGAUUAAUGCUGGGGACUGUGUUUAGUUUUUGUGUAUAUGAUGCAUACAGUCAUGAUGGAAAAGCACUCAUGUCAGAGUUCCUGGUUCUGUGGUGUUAAUGACGGGGUGGGAUACUAAUGUAACGCUACUCAAUCAAUCAAAGCAAACGCUUCUAAGAGUGUGGAAACAUUCAGUGACAAGUUUUUAGCAGGUUACAAUAUAGGCGACCUCAGUUAUGUGAUGUACGAUAAAAGCCACCGCCUCCAUAUGAUCUGCAAAAGCCUCCAUACCUCCAGGAAAUUGACUUUUUUCUGUAAAGUUAUUCCAACACCUGUCACCACUGCCACCGUGUCAGUGUUUAACAAAGGAGUGAGCUGCACACAGACAGGAAGUACAAACUUUCCACAGUAAACAUCCACGGUAAAAAGAUGAGGAACUUUGGGACCCCCUCGUCGAAACAAUACUCCCUGCUGUUAUUCUCCGUGCUCUUCAAACCAGUGUCAAGAAUCUAUUAACUUUAAUGUUAUAAUGUCAUUUCUGAGUCAGUUUGAUAUGUGUCCUUUCUCUGUCUCAUCUUAGAAAUGUUUCUGAUGUCUGGUUUUCAUGACUGCCAUCAUUAUUUUUAAUAGGGUCAGGAGUUGGUAUACAGAUCCAUACUGUGUUUGAUGAGUUGUGAAAUACUACAUGUAGGCCAGUUAAGACUGGCUAAUGACUUUAAUGUCUUACCUUAGCAAAAAAGUGGCACCCAGGACAGCCAGUCAACAAAUGAGUGGGGGCAAAACCUUGCAGCAAACAAGCUCCUGACAACCCCACACCCCCUGCACUGUGGAGUGACAGUGAUAUGAUAGUGUGGCUAAUGUGAGCAAUCAAUUGCAUCUAAGCUUGCAGAUGCUGAUCUAACCACUGGGCUACUGUGUUGUGUUUAUAACUAGGGCUGCACCUAACAAUUAUUCUUUUAUCGAUUAAUAUAACGAUUACUUUUUUGAUUAGUCAGCUAAUCUAUUGACUAAUUUAUUGAUUACUCCAAUGAUAUUUUUUUAUUAACUGAUUAUAUAACAAUGAAUUUAACCAAAAUAAAAAUUUAAAAUGUGUCCUAUUAGUAUUUAAUUCAGUGAUAUAUUCAAGGUUCUCUUGAAAUCCAACAAAACAAAAAUCAGUGCAUUUUUAAUGCUUUUUUACAUUUGCAAAGCACUAAACGUUGCUUUUUAGCUUAUCUUAAGUCAACGUUAAGUAACACUCUGCCAAAAGCUUGCACUUAGUGCUGGGCAACAUACUGUGAACCGCAGUAUACCAUUUUCUGGUAAACAGCCUGUGAGUGCGCCAGCCUGAUAGGUCAUCGUUGCUAACAGCCUCCCUUAACAGGUGCAUGCACACCUUACUCAUAGUUACAACGACUGUCAAGUAACAAUAGAUAACAUUCAUACCGUCUUUUAUUUAAUAGUGUGAAUGUCGGUGCCACACAGCCAACCAAAAAGGCACAAUAUGUCGCAAUGCAUUGUGGGCCGCAGUCGGCAUACUCCUGGCAACACGUUUGUUUACAUUGCUGAGGAAGAUACAGCGCUAGAUAACAGUGUGUCCCCUCUAUGCAAUCAAUCGUGGCGCACUGCCACGGUUAAAUAAAAGCCGCCACACUCUAAAAAGGUUUUUUUUCUUAUGUGGCUCUGCCUCGGACUCGUGUGUAUCAGUAUUCAUAUGUGCAGUGGAGCUCACGUGCGCAGAGUAUUAGCAUUAGUGAGCUAUCGUCAGGGAUCACACAGCUGAUUAAUUAGCAAGUUAUAGAAUAGAAUAGAAUAGAAUAGAAUAUUCCUUUAUUGAUCCCCCAUGGGGGAAAUUUUUUUGUCACAGCAGCAUCACAGACAAGACAAAAAGUGCAAAAAUGCAGUUAUAACAAUAAGGGUCCUAAUAUUAAGAACUUAAAUAAAUGUAAUAAUUAAGAAAAAAAUUAGAAAAGGGAGAAGAAAAAAUAAAGCUUUCUACAAUAUACACAAUUUAAAUGCCAUAAAAAAAGUGGUGGUGUAAAAUCAGUUUUGUUACUGUUCAUUGUAAAGUCUUAUUGCAGAGGGGAGAAAUGAUCUGCAGUAGCGCUCCGUCCUGCAGGGUGGGAGUCUCAGUCUGCUGCUGAAGGAGCUGCCUAAAACCCCCACAGUCUGGUGCAGUGGGUGAGAGGGAUUGUCCAUGAUGGAUACAAGCUUUGUUAACAUCCUCCUCUCACCCACCUCCUCCAGGGAGUCCAAAGAGCAGUCCAGGACAGAACCGGCCCUCCUGACCAGUCUAUUCAGUCUCUUCCUGUCCCUCUCGGUGCUCCCUGCCCCCCAGCAGACCACUGCAUAGAAAAGUGCAGAUGCUACCACAGAGUCAUAGAAAGUCCUGAGCAGAGUCCUGCACACUCCAAAGGACCUCAGUCUCCUCAGCAGGUGGAGACGACUUUGGCACUUCUUGUACAGAACGUCUGUGUUUGUUGACCAGUCCAGUUUGUUGUUGAGGUGGACACCCAGGAAUCUGUAGGACUCCACCAUCUCGAUGUCCAGACCCUGUAUGUUCACUGGAACUGUUUGAGGUGUCCCCCUCCUGCGGAAAUCCACAACCAUCUCCUUUGUCUUACUGGCGUUGAGCUGGAGGUGGUUUGUGCCACACCAGUUGACAAAGUCAGUGAUGACAGUCCUGUAUUCCCGCUCAUCCCCUGACAAUACACAUCCGACGAUGGCUGUGUCAUCAGAGAACUUCUGGAGGUGACAGCUCCCAGAGUUGUAGCUGAAGUCAGAGGUGUACAGGGUGAAGAGGAAGGGGGAGAGCACUGUCCCCUGUGGAGCCCCCGUGCUGCAUACUACCAUGUCCGAUACACCGAUAUAGGACAAAUGAAUACACAAAACUGAUGCUUCAACUCUGAGAUAACUGUUGAAAGUGAAUGAAUUAGAUAUGGGAUGCAGGGCGUAUGAUGCAGCAUCCAUUUUGGUGUUUGCUGCACCAGCAGUGGGUUAUUUGAUUGACAGGUCACUGCGUGUCUCCCUGAAUGAAAGCAGCACGAUCUUGGAAAUGUGAACGGGGAAGCCAGGAAGAACACAUCUAUCGAUUGAGAGGAGCUGCUCAUAGAUCAUGCUAAAGUAGAUUUUAAAUCGACUCCAUUGGGUGGAGCUUGUUUGCUGUCCAUGCUGCCACCAUUACCUGAAGUAGCCAUUGUCUAAGUCAUCAUGCAAUGCGCCGACGCAUGUUUUUUGUGUUGACUAUGUUGACGACUCACCCCAGCCCUAUUUAUAACUCAAGUGUAUUCUGCAAUGUCGCUGAACCCAUAGUGAGGGAAUGUUAGUCUUAGCCUCUGCAAGCAGCUGACAAGGGGAAUAAAAGGACAGACAGCACAAUUCUGUCAAACUCACAUAAUGAGACAACACUUGGACGCUGAGCAAACACACUUGAGCAAUCGAUAAGACACAAGUUGACCUGCAGUGAAUGUUUUUAUUUUUAUUUUUGAGCAGAACACUUGUAGCCCUGGAGCAACAUUUAAGCCCUGAAUGAAGCACAUCGUUAUAGUUUAUUAAAUAUUUUACCAUAAUUUGUUUCUAAAUGUAUCUUUGAUUACGUCACAAAUGCUCAGAGAACUGUUACUGAGAUUCACAAGUGUGUAAGAUACCAGACGAAGUGAAGCUCAGGAGGGAAGGCGCAGGUGUUGGGGUGACUUCCAGACAGAGGCAGGACUAGAAAGAAUGUGGGGAAGAGAUUUCUGAGGAGCAGAGAAUAAAGGUGAGAGAAAAGGAAGGAAAGUGAAGGCACCAAACAGGAAGAAUGCCCCAAACCAUGGUGCCAUAAUCGACAAAGUUUAAAGCCCACCUCUUGGCAGACAUGGACACACACAAACACACACACUCGUUGGCUGGCAGAACACCACAUUAUGGCACCUAGAUUAUCCAGCAGGCAUCUGGUGAGGCAGCUAACACGCUCUAGCAGAGCAUGCAGGCCAGGCCAUAUGUGCGCAUGUGUGUGUGUGCGUGUGUGUGUGUGUGUAUGCUUGUAUUCUUGUUUGUGUGUUUAUGUGUGUGUCAGGUGUCUGUGGGGACAGCUGCUCACUAAAUAGUAUUAUUGUGUCUAAUUGGGGAUUACUGUACCACAGUGUGGUGAUGGAGAGUAUUUUGUCUCAGCUGUUGACAGAGCACACAUAUGCAGAUGAUAAUCGUGGGAUCCAGAUGCACUCGUGAGGAGGUGUUUGGUGAAAUCUCCCCGUGGAAGUCUUUGAAUGAUAACUCAUGUAAUUAAUUUGUCCAUCACCUUCUGACAGCAGUGGGAGUUGAACCAUUAUUAUGAAUCCAUAUGAAAAGAAAACAAAAGGUCAACCUUAUAUCAUAAAGUCUCUAGAGAGAGUGUUGGUAAAGUCCGGAGUGUGAGGCCCGUUCAAGCUGGUUGGUCAUAUGCCUGACUGAAUUUUUUAAAGUUUGACAUUUUUAAUCCCUUCAUAUCAUUUCAAUAAUGUCAUUACAGGAUCCUCUAAUGAAUAAAAGUAUUUCAAAUAAACACAAGUCUUUCACAAACGCCUUUUGUCACCCCUUAAAUAGGCCUCCACUCCCUCUUCCUAUGGUUGGUUUCACCAAAGAGUAACCGCAUGAGAUUGUUUCUGGAGGGCUGGUAAACACAGACACAAAGGUGUCAGGAAGCAGUUUGUCUCACUACGUUGUUAAAUGUGGAGUGAAGCAUUAACCCUUUAAAAGAAAACAUUUUAACAUAAUAUUACGACUUAGUAUAAGAGCCACAUUAAGAGAGAGAAAAAAAAAAGACCAGUUUUAAGUUGUUAAUGUGCGAGAAUAAAGUCGUAAUAAAGUAAUUACUAAUGAGAAUAAAGUCAGAAUAAAGUUCUUAUAUUCUAACCUGUUGUUUAAGAUGACAGUUGUUGAAAUGAGAGCCAUGGAGCAUUUUGUAAAAAUGUAAUUCAAUAUAGAUUUCUCAAACAAGGAGGAACUUAAUCUUUUGACACAUCAGCGCUACAUCAUCAUAAGUAUCGUAAUGAUUUUAUUCCAACUUUAUUCUCAUAAAUAAUUACUUUAUUAUGACUUAAUUCUCAUCAGUAAUGACUUUAUUCUCCUCAACUAACAACUUUAAUCUCAGUCUUUUUUUUUUCUUAAUGACCCUAAUACUGGGUCAUAAUAUAUCAUGCCCAGAAGCUUUUUUUUCCUUUUAUAUUUAUAUUUUUUUUAUAUAUCUAUUCAUUAUUCUUAGUUUUUAUUCCGAACAAAUCAGAUUUUAGCUCAAAAUUUUACAUAUUAAAUACAUUUGUUCUUUGAGUCUUUCUAUCAUACUUUGAUAUUUACAUCCAUGUUUUUUAUUAGGAAAUAAGUCGUCUUAUUCUUUGUUUUUUUCAUGUCUCAAAUGUGUUUAUGUGCCUGAAUAUCUAGCUGUGAUUUCAGCUGCCCUAAUGGUGCAAUUUCCUGCUGAGGAUUAAUCAAAUAUCUAUCUGUCUAUCUAUAAUAUAAACAGUUUUCUGACAGGGCUUCACUUAAGUAGUUUGCCCUGAUCUUGAUAACUACCCUCACUUGUGGCGGGUUACAAUGUUGCAGUAUCGUGUUUAUGGUCAUGAAGAGAGCUCAGGCUGUAUGGAUCUUAUGGCAGUGAGAUGGUUGCUAGAUUUUACUCCCACAACAUUACAGGCGAAAGAUAAAGUAUCAUAUAUUUUAGGAUGGAUUGCAAGGGGAGAAAAGCCUCCUCUUUUAAAUAAAGAGCAGAGGUAGGUCAGUCUUAUUCUGAUACCUAAAAAAAAGAUAAUUGUAAGACAUAAAGAUGGCAACUUCUGGUCUUGGGAAAUGCAGCUGACGCAGAAGAGCUAAAAACCGCAGUUUCUAGAGUGUCCACAUGAGGCUGUUUGCAGAGGUACUGCAUGUACACACAAGACCCAAAAACCAUAAUUAAAAAGUAAAUAAAUAAAUCACCUUACAGCUUGGUUAAAAAGAAGAAGAAGAAGAAGAAGAAGAAGAAGAAGCUCUGGUCUGAAUAGGUCAUGACUGUAAUGGUAUCUAUAUAGGGAUCGUGAAUUUUUCCACUUUUUUUUGUUUAUUUUAAAGUUCUCUGGGUUACAAGAUCGGUGAAUCAGAGGUGCAGUUGACUUUACAUCUCUCUCUCUCUGUUUCUAUACAGUCCAAAAGUACCAAGAGUACCUCUUAAAAUGUUUAAAGAUUGGCUCACUGUAGAACUCACCAUAUGUUAUUUCAUUUUCUUUGAAUAAUAAAUAAAUAAAAUCUUUGCUGCUGCUCAAUAAAAUGUCUCCAUCAGUCUUUGGACCAUCAAAGUUGCAUCAGCUCUUUUAUGAUACCACAGUGUGAAAUAGAUUCCUGAACAUACAUUUCUGGGCUCAGGUGUGUGUACGAGCUCCUGUGAAUGCACUGGCACAUGCAAGAAAAGAGACCAUGAACCUAUAAAAAUCAGACUUGGAAAUGCAUACAAGCCCCGCAAACACUUUGAUCCUCACACCCACCAUCCCCAUACGCACCUUACCAACAACCGCAGAGACAAAUCGCUCAGGGACCAGCCUCCAUGUCUCCGAGCAGGCAGUCAUACAGUACCUAUCCGUCUAAGCCUUGACACACAACGCUAUAAAAAUAACACGGCAGCACUUAAAAAAGGCACCAGGGGAAAGGAGACAAGGCAGCCAAAAGCACUUCUGUUUAUUUCUAAUGGAACACCCACAUAAGCCGGGAAGGGGGUAUUUGUCACAAAUCCACAGGGAGAAAACACUUCAAUAGACUACCGUGAUUGACUCAUGGCUGCCAAGAACAACUCUAAAAAAACAUGUUGCUUUAGCUAAAUUAUCCUCAAAAUAAACAAUAAAAGGCCUGACGAGAUCACAUACAAGGUAAAUAAAGAAAAAACAGCUGUAAAGAAGCAGUUUGGAGCAACGCAGCAAAUAAAACACAUGCACAGGAAGUCUUUGCAUUGAGCGCCACAUCAGAUCCGUUGGUUUUAGAGGGACAGUUCAUUUCUAUAUUUAAAAUUUCUAAGUGGGUUUGUGUGAGGUACUUGUCAACAAUAGAUGCAUUAGUAACAGCGGGUGUUAGUCAGCUCAGCUCUGUCAAGAAAGCGUCUGAAAAAGAAAAACUCAAAGACAAAUGUAACUGCUCGAACAGUUUUGCUUUUUACAGGAGCCAUAGAGGCUCCUGUCAUGUACUGGAGGUUGCAUAACACCAUAUACAAUUUCUGUGUGUAUACGUGUAUGCCUGUUUACAGCAUGUGUUUGUAUUUGCAGAGCUCAGUGGAAGCCAGGCCAUAUGGAGACACGGUAAAGGCUUUUUGCACCUCUUUGCACCUCCUGCUCUUUCCACUGUUUAUAUUUCCGUAGGGAGGGAAGAGGAGGUUAGUGGACGGGGUGGAGAGGGGGUACAGAGAACAAGGAAAAAACUCUUAAAUGGCUCGAUGAGGCAUGCUGCGUGUGAGGACACUACAAGGACGUGAGUGUAUCACAGAGGGGGGUGGGCAAGGAAUUCCCAGGCACCGAGACAAAGAAACAGGCCUCUAUUUUAGGCUCCUGUGUACAUGAAGCUGAAGAAUAUAAACAAAUGAAUCAAAACAUGGAUGCUGAGUCGAUUCCUGAAUGUAAUCCGAACGUUGAUUGCUGUCCUCUAAUAUUUUUCCUGGUAGGUUGUGUAAACAGCUUUUGUUUCACCCAGUAGAUCCAGAUUGCUAAACAGCCCUCGACUAGUGUCUAACAACUUUCUAAAUGAAGCUCAUUAUGUCCUCAUUGAUUUUUCAUAUUCUUUCUCACCAGUAAAUACCCCCAAGGUGCUCCUCUUACAUUGCCCUCCCGCUCUCUGCUCCACCCCGUCUCGCUCUCCACCCUACCUGCGCUAUCUAACCAUCUAUCUGUCGUUCAGCCGGUUUUUAUCAGCCGCUCUCCGAGCAGCAGCAAACAGCAGAACACUUAAGGGAGCUGAACGGUUUCCAAUUAGCAAAACAAAUACCUCCGUUCACUCUCACCCUGUCACAUAGUGCCUUCGAGAGCCUGGGCGGCCAUUACAGACAAUUAGAAUUUAAUAAGCCCAAUAUGCUCACUGUACUAAUGGAGAGGGAGGUAGAGCUGCAAGGAGGGAGGGUAAGAGCUGUGCCCUCAUCAUCCCUCUCGCUCUCUCUCUCUCUCCCUUGGUUGCUAUAUAUUUCUUAUUGCUCCAAAUCCUCAUAGUUGUCCUGGCAGAUUGUUCCUUAUUUGAAUAGUGUCAGGGCUUUCUGGGUAAUCUCCGCCACUACCAUAUAGCCCUUCUACCUUUCUCCCUCUCUCUCGCUGUCUAUCGCUCUCUCACCAAUAUAAUUUUCUCACCCUUUUUUCACCUUCCCUUUUCUUCUCUUGGCCUCUCUUCCUACUCACACCUAUUCUUCCCCAUUUCUCCCAACUUACUGUUCCUAUUUAUUCAUUUAUCCCUCCCUCUUAUUCUCUGCCAGUUCUUUCCUCACCCCUGCUCCAUUUUUUUUAUCCUCAUUUCUCACCUGUCUCUUCUCCCCCCCCCCCUCAGCCUGGCUCAGCGGCUUUGCAGAUGUUUUUCUUCGACUAUUUCAUCCAAUUUUAUUUAUUUCCACCGCCCAUCUCUGCCCUCAUUUUACUCUGACUCCAUAUUCCAUCUAAGUCACUUUCUCAUUCUCUGGCCUCUUCUUUCCUCUCUGCCACACUUUCACCCCAUUUUCAUUCGCUCUUUCAUCAUCCCUCCAUGCUCAACCUACUCUAUCUCCCCUCAGCCUCUGCCUCCUCUCAGUCUCAGCCUCUCUGUUUCGCCUGUGUUGUAAGGCCCUAUGAAAUGAGGUGAUACAAAUGGCAUUUUAUGGGGCUGUGCGGCACAACCAGGCUGAACACGGCAGGCAAUCAUAUAAGCCAUUGUCUGCUGCGCGUGCCACUUUUAAUGUGUUCCAUUUGAUUUAAUGCAAGUGAUAGGUGAGGCAGAAAGAGAGGUGACGCCUCAGAGGUGAGGGUAGAGGUAAGGCUGGAGAUAAAGGGGAUAAAGAGACAGGGUGUAGAGGGGGUGUGGGAGAAGGAAGAAUAAGAGAAAGGCAGGAGACAGCGGUAUCUAGGUCGUAACUGGAGCCCUCACUUCUGGGUUGAAAUAAUAAGGGACAGCCGGGCUGAUAUCUAAUUUCAAGGAAAGAAAUGCCAUUUAGUGUGAGAAUGAAAAUGGAAUGCAUGCAGGGGAGCAAGCAGAGAUAGAAAGAGAGACGAACAGACGGGGAGAGUGAAAUAUUAAAAAAUAAAUGCAAUAUCCAAUGCACAAAGUGAUUACAUUGCCAGAGGGUGGCAGAGGUGUUGGGAUUGUGAUGGCUUUUUUGUGCUUAUAAAGCCGUUCAUUUAAAAGAACAGGCAUAUUUACAUCCAGAUGGGGACCUUGCAGGUGUUACCUACGUAUAUCCCCCAUCCUGCCCGCCCUAAUCUGGAAGAGUUAUGCGACAGUGGUAAUUGCAUAAAUCUGUCGUUAGUGUACAAGAUUGGAUGCAUGAUUCAAAUUUCAGUCACUUUAAUUUUGCACAGUCCAUUUCUGUCAUCAUGUUGGGCAGAGGUGGAGGGGAGUUUGAGAGGUGCUGCUGUUAGCAAUAGACUGCAGCACCUCGGCAGUUCAAUUACACUCACAUAGAUGAAUAGCCCAAGACUGAUGAGUUCAUUUGAACAUACUGGGUAUGGUUCUCGUACAAAGAUAAUAAUGAGCCUCAGCAAACCUCUCUGCUUGAUAUAGAGUUUUGAACAAUACAUAAGACCCAUUUUGGCCCGGCCUGAAUGAAGAGGUUUUGGAAGCCAGGCAACCACGAAGCUGCACACACACCCACACAGUCCAUUUCAGUGCUGUGCUUUUGUGUGUCCUCUCUUUAUUUAUUUUAUUACUUAUUGACUUGUUAAAAAAAAAAAAAAAAAACUCUGACAGUGAACAUUUUCUACACUGAUUUACUUGUUGGACGGUUUGGUGACUAUAUAAUCCAUAUUUCAAAUGUUUGUUUUUUCUCUAUCAGCAUCAUUUGAAUUAUUCAAAAACACCUCAGAUGGUUACUUUGGGAAGUGGAUUCUGUAUCCAGAACUUUCUCUUGCCCUCUGACCAUGGUAGAAGAUGCUGCAUAUGGUAUCCAUCCAGAAGAACUAACCUCAUUCUCCAACAGUGGCACAGUUGUGUUUUGCCCAAGGACACUCAGGCAUAAACCUGGGAUCAAACCUCCAACCGGCUAAUGGAUAGAUGUUUUGCUUCAAACUAGGGCUGGGAAAAAUGGGGAAAAGUUUAUCACAACAUUUUUUUUCACAUCAGUCGAUAUCGAUAUAGAUCAUGGUAUAAAAAAAAAAGAAAUUUAACAGUGCUUAUUGGUAGCAUUUCUUUUGCAAUACAAUAAGCUACUUCAUCUGUAUGGUCUUUGUGUCUCUUUGAGGUUUUGUCUUGAGGUGUUGUGCUAGAGAAAGCAGACUGAAUGGUCAGCUGUUUCGGCUGCACAGGCGCCAUGGGCUCCUUACUUUGCUCAGGGUUUGUAACCUUUUGCAUUGCGCGUGCUCUGCCGCGUGGCACUGCUUCAGGUGGUCAAAAAGAUUUGAGGUAUUCCCCAACUUUGUGAGAACAUGUUCUCAACAUAAUUUGUAGUGCACAUUACUCUGCUUCAUGUCUGACCUCAUCGACAGUACUGUCGGCUUCACUUGUUAAAGUGCUAUGGUUGAGUGUCGCUGCAGCCUGCUACUACGCAGUUGUUUGUUACUUGGAUCUAAUUCAGCUCAUGAUUGGUUCAGUGAGAAGCGGACCUAGAGCAACUCCCCUUUUUAUUGGCUAUUCGUACAGUCUACUAAAACAUGGCAGAAUGCCAGCUAUUGAUAAGGAUAUUGACCAUGUUUUAUACUGAUAAUGUGGGAAAUUCAUUUUCAAUAUAUAUCGUUAUCAUUUUAUCGCCCAGUACUAUUUAAAACUGAGGAGAAGCUUCUCUGACCUGUAGUCAAAAGUAUCAAACAUAGCCUUUCUGAUAUUUACAGUUCUAGAUUGGACAGCUAAUACUGCAAAGGGCAGAAGUAGUGUUCAUUUUGUUGGCCAUUAUGGAUCUUAUAUUGGUUUAAGGAUAAAAUUAUUUUGAAUAUUUUGCUACAUUUGCAUAAUUUAUUUCCUUUCUAAUUUAGUUUCAGUCGACAAAAAGGCAAAAUGCUUGAGUCAAAUUGAAUAAAGAGAAAGUGUUAGAAAUGUUCCCUCAGUGAGUCUAUCAGAAAUUGACUUCAAGGUUUUACCAAGUGCUCAAAUCUGAAAUAUUUAAUUUUCUUAAUACUUUAAAUAGUAUACUAACUGGUUCCCUUAACUCAGUGGUGUCACUGUUGAUUUUGGCCAUGUUAUUUUCUUUGAGUUAUUUUUAUGGGGUUUAGCUACUGAAGUCCUCAAAUCCAAGAAUCAGGCCUUGAUGAGCAUGCUGGACUGUGACUUUGAGCGCUGAGAGUCGAUCAGCACAAAGUAGCAUCUGACUCCGAUGUAAACAAGGGUUUGAAACAGAGUUGUUAGGGUGUCUUGGUAGCUGGGUGUGUCCUUGUCACCUACGUGCAUCAGGAAAAGUUCAUGAAUGAAAAUAGUAAAGAAGUAUGGAGACAGAGAGGGUUUGACCUGAGGUGCACUUGUCGCAUACAAGGGAACAAGUAAAGGCUGCUCCCCGAAAAUAACAGAUGCUGUCACAGCCAGGACAAUUUCAUGGAUUUACCAAUAUUUUCACCUCGUCCUCGUUGAAUAAAUAAAAGAGAUGACUGAGCAGCCAAUGUGAGCUGGUAUAGUUGUCAGAAAUAUGUGUGGGUGAGCAUCAGGAGAAUCGCCAGAUAAGUGGAGCGGUCUGGGCUAACUUCAGUUGUCUGGAGGUCAGUGUUUGGGCUUCAGGGGUUUCUUGUGGGUCACUGUAAGAAAGGAACAGAUCACAUGUUUUAGAAAGAGCAUAAGCAAGUUCACCAUCCGUCAUGUCUCUCUUAUUGUAACAAAACAACUUUCUUCAGUGUUUUUCAUGCUGUUUGUUGAGGUUAACAUUUCUUGUCAUUUGAGUUGAUUUCAGUGGAUUGUUGUUAAUUUCUCACAAACCUUUUAAUUCUUGUGUAGACCAACAUCAUAAAUACUUGAGGAAGCUGAUGAAUUAUGCAGAAAUCUGCCCUGUAAUGCUGCUUGUCAGAUGGCUGUAGGCUAGUGGUUGAUCUGGCUUGGCUCUUGUGACCACAGUGAUGAGUGCUUCUGGCCAACCCUUGUCUCUCAUCCUAAUAGCUAUAUACACCCUGAGAGCAGUCCUGUGAUUGUCAAUGAGCACUUUAGCUUCCAAGCACCAUGAGAUAAUUAGCUUGCCUUCCCUGCCUCUUGGACUUGGCAAGAUCUCCCCACUUUCCUCCCCUCAUUUCAAUACUUUCUGGUUUUAAAUGUGCAGAGUAAAAAAAAGCCUUUUGAAGACGUCCUUCUGUCUGAAUCUAAGAUAGUAUUAGUUUGUGACUGUGCUCAUUUCUGAUAACUUUCAUGUUCAAAUGGUGAUUACUGAUGAAAUGUAUGUGUGUUUUGAUAUAUCUGCGGUUAUCUGACCACAUUAAGUCCACUCUGUGAGAUUCUGCUUGUCACAGUUUAUGUGUGGUGCCAAAUCAAUGGCUCAAUGUGUCUUUGUGGUAAAGUGGAGAAAGAAAUAAGUGAAGUGCUUGGCUCCUUAGACUCUCACAUAGAAGCAGAGUUCAUAUCAAGUUCACAUUCCUGUUUUUUAAAGUUCUGUCUAUCUUUAGCCAAAUGAUUUAGUUGUAAAAAUAUCUUGAAAAAUAGAGCUCCUCGUGGGAGCUUUGGUCUGAGUGGAAUUUGGCAAACGGACAAAGUUGUUCACUUUGUCUUUUGUGUGUUUUUUUAAAACACUAAAUCUCAUCCUGCCAUCUUUUUUACAAUCUAUGUAUCAUUUAAUGUGAAUAUUUAUGGUUGGAAAUAGUAAUUAAAAAGACACUGACCCCCUGGCAACUUAAACAGACAUUAAAAAGGUAGUAAAGGAAUAGUCAAUCAUGUCACUGAUGAUCUUGUUUGCAUUUGUAGGCCAUAAAGGAAACAUCAUUGAUUUAUGUCCAUAUUAUAUUCCUUUAAAAACUCAUCAGAAAAGCUUACACUGACAUCACAGUGUGCAAGAGGUGCAGUUUUUGAUUCAUUUGAUUUAUCUUUUUGUCUCUAGGUGAAUAUUGGCGGCACGUUUAGCUGAUUCAGUUUCUCCAUUGCCAGUAUAACUCGAGUUUUAGACAUGUGGAUCUGAUUUGAAGUCAUAGAUAAAGUAUCUAAAAACUAUUAUUACAGAUGUGUAAUAAGAGCUGAGAAAGAAAAUUAGGGGUCUGAGAGGCAUGAUGAGUAAAAAGGCAGUGUUUUUGUAAUGAAAGAGUCCACUGAUUUUCUCUGAGGGAAAUGUAGGAUAAUCUAUUUUUAUGCUUGAGCCACAUCAAGAACAAAGCAUCACUUAAGCAUGUGUUUCAGAAAUCGUCCUUUAAAAGUUAUUUCACUUCGCUAAAUAGUGUUAAACUAGGACCACCAAAUCAGCUGAAUGCUUAAAAGCAACCUUAUCUAACCUUACCUUAGAUGCAUCUUACAAGGAAGCUGAGGAGAGAAAAAGCUUUUGGCAAAGGCUUAAGACAUAUCUGAGAGCAGUUCUGCAGUCCUCAAAGAUCUCCUCAGCUGCUGAUGUAAGCGAUUUCCCCUUCUUCCUUGCCCCCCCCAUUUAAUCACUGGAUGCAAAUCAAACAGAGAAAGAAAGCACUAAUUUAAACCUGCUUGAAGAGUUUGAGUCCCCAUGGGGACUUAAUAAGGUGCAGUGUCUUGCUGUGAUGAGAAUGUAAAAGCAGAUUAAUCCCUUCUUGAAAGGAUUGUGACAUAAAAACCCAAACUCGGAGGCAGAUGAUUAAUAGAGUAUAGUAAAGAAGGAAGUGCUGUUUAUUAGAAAUGAAAACCAGAGAGCUUGUCAACUUAAACACAGAAGCUUUAAACACAUAUCCACUCCAGCUCUUUCCAUGCCUGAGGUGCGCCCUCACUCGGGGCUUUGACAACAAGCAGUACGUCUCUGUCAUUGUGAGUCUAAUUUUUGGCUGCCUAACUGGAUUGAUUCAUGGGAGAGGUUUUUUUUUUUUUUUUCUAAUUGUGCCCAAAGCUUUAUUUUCUUCUGCACUUCUUAUUGAAUUGAACUUGUUUGGCAAGUGCUUGUAGGCCAAUGUUUGGACAGACAGAAACAGCUCUCAUGUUCACACUGUUUUCUAAAUGAGGAGUGGGAUUUUUAAAGCCACGUAGCAGGUAAUUUUAUCUGUUCAACUAUGAAACAUAUGUCCUUUACAAUUAGAUCUCUCCUGCACUCCUCUAUUUAGUCAAUAUCAUGUCAGUCAGCUCUGCAAAGCUAACUGGUUCAGGGCAAAUUGAACUCACUCAUUAGCUCCAGUUUUCUGUGUUUCUCCUCUCCGCUGUAGAGAAGUUGAACCCAAAGUUGUGCCUCUACUUACAGGUCAACAUACAACGUUAAUACUCUCUAUGCUAGAGGCUAAGUUGGGCUGUACUCAGAACAGAACUUGGAGCUAAAUGCUAAUCAAAUCCUCUAACAUGGAGGAACAGUGUUAGAGCUGUUCCUCCAUGAACUCAUCAUACAGGGUCAAAUACAUUUAUUGGGUUGUUGUGCCUUGAGUAACACUUAACAUGCAGUUCUUUCUGUCAAGAACGGAUCCACAUUCAUUUAACCAGUGUACUUGACUUGUCUUCUGUUCCCUGUGAAUGUAUAUUUCAGUUUUUUUACUGUACGAAAGCAGUCAUUCUUGGAAGUCACUGACAUCCCUCGCAGUAGACUGGGGUGUUGGCUGUGGUGAGCCUGGAUCGGUGUAUCACUGAGUUUAGAGAGACCGCUGGCCUCCACUCCACUGUCUCUGCUGGAGUGUCAGACUCUCCAGCUGUGAAAGGUUGUGGUUGGAGGUCCUGGAGGUCUGUAUGUGAGGGGAAAAUUGUGGUUUGGUUAGAAGGGGGGAGGUGUUCCUCUUCUUUUCCUUCUCAUCUCCAUGAGAACAGAAAUAAAGCAUUCGUACUGGAUAACAAAAGAAGAACUCAUUGUUAGCAUUAAAGAUCCUGCAGUUAGCUUGUAGUGCAAACAUCUCUUUGUAUUGCGUUGGUAUUAUCUGGAGACCUGGCUUACUCAUACUGGGUAAGUGGAGUCUACCAUUUACUCGACUGUGCUGAGAUUUCUGAUUGAAAACUUCAAGGCGCUGCAUGACAUCCACCUUGUCUUUGAGGACUGCAUUUACUCUACAGGGUACAUCCUGCCAAGAACUAAGAACAUCUGACAAACUUGGAGAGUUUGUUUUACGCUCAUAAAAAAACUUUAUUUUUAUAUAAAGUUUAUAAGCUAGCUUUGAAAGAAACAUUUUUUUUUUUUUAAAUAGUUGGUCAAUUAGCGGCCGAUUUAACAUUAGGCUCUCUUUUUAUAUACUCAAACGCAUCAUGGUAACCCAACAUCUUACAGGCAAAGUUGCACCAAUAUAUUCAUACUAUAGCUCUAAGAGCAGAGAGACUAAUUAAUAGAGCUGAUUGUUAGAACUUGGACGUCACAAGGUAGAUUUUAUGCCAUAACCUAAUGUAUUCCUCUUUUCAUAAGUUCAUAAAAAAUGUUAUUUAAAAUGCGUCACCAGCUAAGAUAACCAUGUAUUUUACAUUUAAGGCACAUGGAGUUGACAUGAUUUUAUUUUGUUCUAAUUUGAACCCAGUAUUACUUUGUAUUCUUUCAUUUAUGUUUAACACAUCCUUCAUUAUUUUUUAUUAAAAGUGGGGCAGAAAAUUCCACAGAGACCCCAAAUCACUCCAUAUCACUGAGAUGCUGACUCAGACUGCCCUGGAAUAGUGGCAGUACCUCAGUGUGUCACAGCGAUGGUAGUUUGACCUGAAAUUUUGACUUUACAAGUUGCAUACAUGGUUGAUUUGGCCAGGAUUUAAAAAACACUUAAUCCUUCAUUUGUUGCAAAUGAUUAGAGGUCCCCAGGUUACUCCAGUCCAGGUCUAUAGUGCGCAAAGAGAAGAGAUCCGCAUGGUCAGAUCACAUCGCAGUGCCCUGUAGCUGACGAUCUCAAUCAUAAACCGGAUGAUUUCAUUACAACAUGACUCACUUGUGAUUGAACCAGUUUCCCCCUUGCUCUCUAUCUUCUGUGUGCAGGGGGGCAUGUUGACAUGCUUAGCAACUUUUCUUCACUUUGAACACAACACACAAAAAAAGGAAGAAACACAAGCCCCUGUAAAAAGUCAUAGUCAUUCAAACAUGAGGAUGUAAGUCAGCUGCUGAUUUUAACAAAACUCUGGGUAGUUUAGAGCCAAAUAAGCCUCAGCAAGCUGCCUCAAGACGAGUGUCUGGGCUUUCUCUUGGCUGGACAAUGGACAAUCAUGGACAAUGGACAAUCUUAAAGGUAGGAUGGGUAAUCAGAUUUAGAUACAUUUUUUUGUUAUUCUGGUUUAAAUGGUCUUUCUGUUCCGAUGGCAAUCAAUACAUGAUGUGUUCUUAAAAAGAGUGAAACACAGCCACUAUCUACAGCAGAGGGAAAACUGGGAAAACACCAACUUGGAAAUUUUAUAUUCUGUGUCAUUAAUGUCUAAAGUUUGUCCACAGCUCCAUAGGGAUUGCUGGAGGAGGCAGGAUUUGUGACCUUUGCUGCAGCCCGUCACUAGAGGGUGCUGUUCUCGAGGUGGCGUCACCCAGCGAGGAGGCAGACAUGUCGAUUCUAUAUACAGUCUAUGACUGCACCCCUGCCCCGGAUGUUGAUGUUUAACUGUUUGACAUCUUUACUGAUCUAGUUUAACUUGCAAACAUGAGUUUUUACUGCUGAUCAUCAGAAAAUGUAACUGAGGUUUUACAGUAAAUACAUGGAGUUACAUCCUUCAUUUGAAAGAGAAAUUAAUAAAAAAUACAGCCAGAAGUCAACAACCAUUUAAAACCAAUAAUGCCAUGUGCUCGAGUCUGAACAGCUGUGGUUUAUACUUAGAUAUGUAUUAAUCAGGCACAGGAGAGAAUCAGUGAAGCCUUGUUUCUAAAAGUUUCAGGUUGCUGUAAAGUGCACUGACUGUACAGCUUUCUUAUUUCUGUCUGAGUGUCGUCUCACAGCUCUUUUUGCUGUGUAUCUGCAGCUGAACUUGCCCCCACAGGCCUUCACACGUAUCUUGCCACAGGCCAGAGUCUUCUUAAGCUUUCCACUGUCCCCCUUUCUGAGAGGAAAACACACAUGAUGAGCAACCGCCCCCCUGUGAGAGGAAGAUAAAGCACGAGUGCUAUCAGCUCAACCUGUGAGCGUGGAGAGAAGUUCAAAACCUGGUUCGGUUUCAAUAGACACAGUCCCUCAUGUCGUCUUUAAG